UACGGAGGAUGCGAGCGUUAUCCGGAUUUAUUGGGUUUAAAGGGUGCGUAGGCGGCUUUUUAAGUCAGCGGUGAAAUUUUGCAGCUCAACUGUAAAAGUGCCUUCGAAACUGGUUUCCUUGAGUGUAGAUGAAGUAGGCGGAAUUUGUGGUGUAGCGGUGAAAUGCAUAGAUAUCACGAGGAACUCCGAUUGCGCAGGCAGCUUACUAAACUACUACUGACGCUCAGGCACGAAGGCGUGGGGAUCAAACAGGAUUAGAUACCCCGGUAGU
rnacentral:rRNA from 1 species